rnacentral:rRNA from 2 species
CUCCUACGGGAGGCAGCAGUGGGGAAUAUUGGACAAUGGGCGCAAGCCUGAUCCAGCCAUGCCGCGUGAGUGAUGAAGGCCUUAGGGUUGUAAAGCUCUUUCACCGAUGAAGAUAAUGACGGUAGUCGGAGAAGAAGCCCCGGCUAACUUCGUGCCAGCAGCCGCGGUAAUACGAAGGGGGCUAGCGUUGUUCGGAUUUACUGGGCGUAAAGCGCACGUAGGCGGUUUGUUAAGUCAGAGGUGAAAUCCCGGAGCUCACCUCCGGAACUGCCUUUGAUACUGGCAAGCUAGAGUCCGGAAGAGGUAAGUGGAACUCCUAGUGUAGAGGUGGAAUUCGUAGAUAUUAGGAAGAACACCAGUGGCGAAGGCGGCUUACUGGUCCGGAACUGACGCUGAGGUGCGAAAGCGUGGGGAGCAAACAGGAUUAGAUACCCGAGUAGUC